rnacentral:rRNA from 1 species
CCUACGGGAGGCAGCAGUGGGGAAUCUUGCGCAAUGGGCGAAAGCCUGACGCAGCCAUGCCGCGUGAAUGAUGAAGGUCUUAGGAUUGUAAAAUUCUUUCACCGGGGACGAUAAUGACGGUACCCGGAGAAGAAGCCCCGGCUAACUUCGUGCCAGCAGCCGCGGUAAUACGAAGGGGGCUAGCGUUGCUCGGAAUUACUGGGCGUAAAGGGAGCGUAGGCGGAUAGUUUAGUCAGAGGUGAAAGCCCAGGGCUCAACCUUGGAAUUGCCUUUGAUACUGGCUAUCUUGAGUGUGGGAGAGGUAUGUGGAACUCCGAGUGUAGAGGUGAAAUUCGUAGAUAUUCGGAAGAACACCAGUGGCGAAGGCGACAUACUGGCCCAUUACUGACGCUGAGGCUCGAAAGCGUGGGGAGCAAACAGGAUUAGAUACCCUGGUAGUCCACGCUGUAAACGAUGAGUGCUAGUUGUCGGCAUGCAUGCAUGUCGGUGACGCAGCUAACGCAUUAAGCACUCCGCCUGGGGAGUACGGUCGCAAGAUUAAAACUCAAAUGAAUUAGACGG